rnacentral:sRNA from 1 species
GAUGCCGAAAGGGGGGACUACUGCGU